GUUGAAAUAAAACCAAGCUACUUUCUAUGUUUUAUGAUCGGUGUUGUAAAGGAUUGAGUGACAUUUUUUCUCUCCCGUUUUUUUUGGAUACACCCGUAAACUGAAGCAUUACGCAAUGGUGGAAAUACAAACAGAACAGGAACCUCCUCGGAGCCAUUGUGAACACCUGCUCUCCGAGAUCGGGCCUCAUUCUCAGAGCGGCCGGGCGGAAGUCCUCGAGACAUCCCGAGGGACCGCCUCCGUGUCCUGAACCCGCACUUCUGUCUGCUCACCUUGGAUACCGCCUCCGCCGUCCCAUGAGUCACACUGCACCCGGGAGCCCUGGUCCAAGUCAACCGGACCCGGAAGGAGGACCCAGGCCCGCUCUGGAGAUAUUAACGGCAGG
ensembl:lncRNA